GACGGAGGGUGCAAGCGUUGCCCGGAAUCACUGGGCGUAAAGCGCACGUAGGCGGCUUGUUAAGUCAGGGGUGAAAUCCUGGAGCUCAACUCCAGAACUGCCUUUGAUACUGGCGAGCUCGAGUCCGGGAGAGGUGAGUGGAACUGCGAGUGUAGAGGUGAAAUUCGUAGAUAUUCGCAAGAACACCAGUGGCGAAGGCGGCUUACUGGUCCGGUUCUGACGCUGAGGCGCGAAAGCGUGGGGAGCAAACAGG
rnacentral:rRNA from 1 species